GUAAUAAAUAUGAAUGGGUUUGCUGUUUGUGUUGCUGUCAAGCUGGUGCUGCUACUAGUACUGCUGCUUCUUGCAGGCUGCAUAGAAAUAGAGAGGGCGGUGGUUUAAGUUCUUUUCUUUUGCAGUUUGUUAACAAAGGGGAAGAUUUGAUCAAAGUGGAAAAAAAGAGGAAGUGAAAAAGAGUCAUCUUUUAUGGGAAGAGUAAGAGAAAGGAGUUUACUUGAAUCUUGUUAAGAAACAGCUAGUUGGUGGUGGAAAAAAGAGGAAUUUUUCUUCUUCUUGACAGUCUGUACUUUAGGAAAGACAAAAAGGAAGGUUGGAGUUUGAAUCUACUAGAGAGGAAGGAGGUUAUGGAUGCUUAUGAAGCUACAAAAAUUGUUUUUCAAAGGAUUCAAAGUUUNUGGGAUCCUGAAAAUGCAUCAAAAAUUAUGGGAUUCUUCUGAUGCAAGACCAUGGUGAGAAAGAAAUGAUUAGAUUAGCUUUUGGUCCAGAAGCUUUAGUUCACUCAGUGAUUCUUAAAGCAAGAAAGGAGCUUGGUGUUUCUUCAAACUCACCUUCUACACCUUCAACUCCUUCUUCACCUUCACCUUUUGGUGGUUCAAUGUGUUUUUCAAGGCAGAAUUCUUCUUCUUCAGCUACUUCUGGUAGGAUUCUUGGGGGUCUUAGCCUUCCUUCACCUCUUAGCAUAACUAGUAACAACAACCGCUCUUCAAAUGUUUCUGCUUCUUGGAGUACUAGUCCUAGUUUCUCUGAGUUUCAAGAAGCUGAUCUUGUUAGUCCUAGUGCUUCCAACAUCUCAUAUACUGCUGCUACUACUACUAAUGGAAUGACCAAUUCCACCAUGAAUUCCUCAGCUCCUCCCUUUUAUUGCAAUGGAGAAGUAGACUUGAUAGAUGAGUUUCAACUACAGGACCAGCUUUCUUUCUUGAAUGAUGGGUCACCAACCUUGGGGCCUAAGAAUCCUGAUGUUUAUUACCAGCAACAGCAGCAACAACAAGAUUUAGCCUCAAGUCCAAGUGGGGAUUCCAUGCUUUUCUCUUCAUAUAACUGGGGUGGUGGAUGCAACUCAGUCAACGGCCUCUCUCAUAGAAGGAGCUGCUCUGUGAGUGAUAUAUGCUUGGGGGCGGAUGACCCAAGUGGAGGACUUGGCUGGAAACCUUGUCUCUAUUUUGCUAGAGGGUAUUGCAAGAAUGGAAGUAGCUGUAGGUUCCUUCAUGGUGCUGGGCCUGGUGAAGGUGAAGUUGGGUCACCAAACAAGUUUGAGAUGAUGGAACAUUGCCAAGAACUUCUCAGAUCUAAGUCUGCUCACCAGCAAAGACUAGCCACAGCUUCUCAGCUCAUGGCUUCUUCUAACUUUCCUCUCUCUCCCAUGGCUGCUAACAAAUGCAUUAACUUUCUUCAGCAGCAACAGUUGCAGUCUGCAGAAAGUCCAAGGGCAGCUGCUGCAUUGAUGAUGGGUGAUGACAUGCAUAAAUUGAGCCGAAGUCGUUUUGAAAGAGGGGAUUUUGGACUGAAUGGUGGAGUUGGAAUAACAAAUCCAGGUUCAAGGCAAAUUUACUUGACAUUUCCAGCUGAUAGUACUUUCAAAGAAGAGGAUGUUUCCAAUUAUUUCAGCACUUAUGGGCCUUUUCAAGAUGUGAGGAUUCCAUAUCAGCUAAAGAGGAUGUUUGGUUUUGUUACAUUUGUUUAUCCGGAGACUGUGAAGAUCAUUCUUGUCAAAGGAAAUCCUCAUUUUGUAUGUGAUGCUAGGGUGCUUGUCAAGCCUUACAAAGAGAAGGGCAAAGUCCCAGAGAAGUUUAGGAAGCAACACCAACAGCAGAUGGAGAGGGGAGAAUUCACUGGAUGCGGUAGUCCUACUGGUCUGGACUCCAGUGAUCCUUAUGAUCUUCAGCUUGGUGCAAGAAUGUUUUACAACACUCAAGAUGCGCUGUGGAGGAGAAAAUUGGAAGAACAAGCUGAUCUGCAACAGGUAAUUGAGCUCCAAAGCAGGAGAUUGCUGAAUUUACAGCUUCUUGAUGUCAAAAGGAGCAACCACCAUCGUGCCCUUUCCAUGAGUGCUGUUAUCCCAUCCCCACCGCAUUCUCCAGGCUUCUUCAAUCAAAAUAUGGUUCGCUCCACAGACUUUGGCAGCCGAGAAGAGAAUGGUUUUGCACCAAAAAUGGCCAAUUUUGCUGCUGUUACUGCUGAGCAAAAGAAUGCAAAUCUUACUGCCAAGGAGAGAGAAUGCUUCACAGGUAAAGAUGAAAAUAGCAGUGGCAAAGAAAGUUCCAAGAAGGAAGCAAGUGAUUUUCAAGAAAGCUUGGAGCAUAAUCUCCCAGAUAGUCCAUUUGCAUCACCUAAAGCAGUUGGGGACUUUAUCACAACUUUCUCAAAUGAAGCUGCUGGAGAUGUUGACAAAGGUGCUGGAUUAAAUGCAUCAUCCUCUGCUAACAAUAAUAUGAUCCCUUCUUCCUCCUUGUCAACUAGUACUCUAGACAUGACUCCUUUCAAAUCAUGUUACUUCCAAGUGCCUAGGUUCCCUUCCGGACAUGGCACCAUUGGAAUGUAGGCCUGGACAGCAUGUUAUGUUACGUAGUUUAGCUUCCUUAGUUUAGGAAGGAAAGAAAGAACGAUGACGACCGGAACCAAACCCCAAAACAAAAAAAAUUACUACUCUCAAGAAGCAAGCUCAGCAUCAGCCAGGAAAAUACAUACUACUACUAUAGAAAAUAUGCAUAAAUACAUAAAAAAAAAGAGAAGAAGAAUGAUGUGUGUGACAGCCAUGUUAAAUGUAUUUUCAGUGUCUUUUUCCCAUAUCUCUCCUUUAGUUGAGGCUGGAUUCACAUGUUAAAGAAAAAAGGAUAAUUAGCCAUAGGUACAAAGAAGUAAAAAAUCCAAAGCAUCACUUGUAAUCUCCUUUCUCCUUUACCUAAGUAAGCAUUAUUGGGUGUCCACUUGUGUACUUAAUGACAUCCUAAAAGGUUAACUAGUUGUAAUUUUCUUUUCAAGUUGUUGUAAUCACUUUGUAUAGAAGAUGAAGAUGAUGAUGAUGAAGCACAAAGGCAGAAGAGUAAAUCAAGACUUCAAGCUGAAAUAUAUAUACUCAAAUUUAGUACAAGGCAAAGGCAAAGGCAAAGGGGAAGCUCUUUUGUUUGUAACUUUUCUUUUUUUUUAUAAUAUGCUUUAGCAUAUAGACCAAUAUAUUAGCUUGCUAUCUUUUGUAAUUUUCCUUUUUCUUUUUUAAGUUUCAACUCUUUGUUGUAAUUUUAUAUAAGAAUAUUAGAUAGUGUAUGAAUCAAAGAUGUAAACAGACAGAAAAAAAGGAGGAAAAUGGAGGAAGUUUCAUAAUUUAGUAGCUUUAAUUGG